rnacentral:rRNA from 1 species
AUACGUAGGUGACAAGCGUUAUCCGGAUUUACUGGGCGUAAAGGGCGUGUAGGCGGUCUUGCAAGUCAGAAGUGAAAUUCCUGAGCUCAACUCGGGCGCUGCUUCUGAAACUGCAGGACUUGAGUGCUGGAGGGGAUAGCGGAAUUCCUAGUGGAGCGGUAAAAUGCGCAGAUAUUAGGAAGAACACCGGUGGCGAAGGCGGAUAUCUGGACAGUAACUGACGCUGAGGCGCGAAAGCGUGGGGAGCAAACAGGAUUAGAUACCCGGGUAGUCCACGCCGUAAACGAUGAAUACUAGGUGUAGGGGGUAUCGACUCCCUCUGUGCCGCAGUUAACACAAUAAGUAUUCCGCCUGGGGAGUACGGCCGCAAGGUUGAAACUCAAAGGAAUUGACGGGG